rnacentral:rRNA from 1 species
ACCGAGUGCUGUCUGCCCCCGGGCAGGCCUAACCUCCCACCCGUGAAUACCUGACCAACGUUGCUUCGGCGGUGCGCCCCCCCCGGGGGUAGCCGCCGGAGACCACACCGAACCUCCUGUCUUUAGUGUUGUCUGAGCUUGAUAGCAAACCUAUUAAAACUUUCAACAAUGGAUCUCUUGGUUCCGGCAUCGAUGAAGAACGCAGCGAACUGCGAUAAGUAAUGUGAAUUGCAGAAUUCAGUGAAUCAUCGAGUCUUUGAACGCACAUUGCGCCCCCUGGCAUUCCGGGGGGCAUGCCUGUCCGAGCGUCAUUGCUGCCCUUCAAGCCCGGCUUGUGUGUUGGGUCGUCGUCCCCCCCGGGGGACGGGCCCGAAAGGCAGCGGCGGCACCGCGUCCGGUCCUCGAGCGUAUGGGGCUUUGUCACCCGCUCGAUUAGGGCCGGCCGGGCGCCAGCCGGCGUCUCCAACCUUCUAUUUUACCAGGUUGACCUCGGAUCAGGUAGGGAUACCCGCUGAACUUAAGCAUAUCAAUAAGCGGAGGAA